GAUGAACGCUGGCGGCGUGCCUAAUACAUGCAAGUCGAGCGAACGGACGAGAAGCUUGCUUUUCUGAUGUUAGCGGCGGACGGGUGAGUAACACGUGGAUAACCUACCUAUAAGACUGGGAUAACUUCGGGAAAACGGAGCUAAUACCGGAUAAUAUUUUGAACCGCAUGGUUCAAAAGUGAAAGACGGUCUUGCUGUCACUUAUAGAUGGAUCCGCGCUGCAUUAGCUAGUUGGUAAGGUAACGGCUUGCCAAGGCAACGAUGCAUAGCCGACCUGAGAGGGUGAUCGGCCACACUGGAACUGAGACACGGUCCAGACUCCUACGGGAGGCAGCAGUAGGGAAUCUUCCGCAAUGGGCGAAAGCCUGACGGAGCAACGCCGCGUGAGUGAUGAAGGUCUUCGGAUCGUAAAACUCUGUUAUUAGGGAAGAACAUAUGUGUAAGUAACUGUGCACAUCUUGACGGUACCUAAUCAGAAAGCCACGGCUAACUACGUG
rnacentral:rRNA from 1 species